GGUUUUGUUUUUUGAUAGCUCAGUGGUGAGAGCAUUGGUUUGGGAAACCAGGGGUCGUGAGUUCAUUUCUCACUCAGGCCU